CCGGGGUGGAGUAAUGUCUGGGAAACUGCCUGAUGGAGGGGGAUAACUACUGGAAACGGUAGCUAAUACCGCAUAACGUCGCAAGACCAAAGUGGGGGACCGUUCGGGCCUCAUGCCAUAAGAUGUGCCCAGAUGGGAUUAGCUAGUAGGUGGGGUAACGGCUCACCUAGGCGACGAUCCCUAGCUGGUCUGAGAGGAUGACCAGCCACACUGGAACUGAGACACGGUCCAG
rnacentral:rRNA from 1 species